GGGCGGUUAGCUCAGUGGUAGAGCACUGCCUUCACACGGCAGGGGUCGCAGGUUCGAACCCUGCACCGCCCA
rfam:Paucibacter sp. KCTC 42545, complete genome.